CGGGCUGUGGCGCAGUUUGGUAGCGCGCUGCUUUCGGGAAGCAGAGGUCGUCGGUUCAAAUCCGGCCAGCCCGA
rnacentral:tRNA from 2 species